GGCCCGGUGCGCUAACUGGCAAAGCGGCGAUCCUCAAAAGGUCGUGAAUGUGGGUUCAAAUCCCACCCGGGUUAC
rnacentral:tRNA from 5 species